rnacentral:misc_RNA from 1 species
AAGUCGUAACAAGGUAUCCGUAGGUGAACCUGCGGAUGGAUCAUUACCAAAGAUUUUCAUCAAAGUCUUGUGAACUGUUUUGACUACACUGUUGGGGUGCUAGAUUUAUGACUUUGUGUCUGAAUUGACCACCUCGACGGUACACACACAUACACGUAUAUAAACUCAAACUGACGUCUACGCUUUAGUAGUAAAUCAAACUAAAGACAACUUUUAGCAACGGAUCUCUUGGCUCUC